AAUUAAAUAACGAUUCGUGAUCAAAAAAAGUGUCCCGAGCAUAUGCUGCAUCGCCCCCGCCGCUUGGCCUUGCUCAGCACCGGCGCAGCCCACCCCGCCGCCUGACCUCGCCUCGCACCGGAGGCGACCACCACCAUCCUCGCCGCUCCCUCCCCUCCCCUCCCCCAGCCCAAUCUAGAUGUCUAACCUGCCCCUUCCCAUCUCUGAGCAUAGCAUGCUCCGUCGGCGGCGGCGGCAGCGGCGGCUCCUUCUGGCCGGAUUGAGGCGCGGAGACCCAUGCUCCUCUCAUCUGGUUGGAUCGCCUCCUCCGGUAGGAUCUCCUCUCCGAGCUGGAUGUUGAGCACGAUAUCCCUGCUCUAUGGAUCGCCUCCCCUCAUACGGUCACCCCGACGCGGCGACCCUGCAUCCUGAGACCACCAACGCCGCCUCCUUCGACCACGGGAAGGAACCUAGAUGCACGUCAUGGAUGAGGUCGGGGCAACCUCCCCCACAGGCCAGUUUAUAUCAAAUUAAGCUUUCUAUUUUCUUCGAAUCUUUAGUUUUGCAGAUUAGUUUUGUCGAUGACGGCAAGGUGUUUGAUGGAAAUCCAACCUGACUGUACGCUUGCUAUGUAGAUAUUUUAUAUGUCCACAAGGCAUUUGAUGACAAUCCAAACAGGUAUUUGAUUAUUCUCAUAUGACUCUCAAUGUUAUGACUAGAUUAGUUCAUCUAACUAAUCAUGUUCAGGUUUUUUAGGCACUGUAUGUUAUCCCUAACCAAUUGCAGAGGUUGCAGUACAAACAUGUAGGAUACAGAUGCAUUCUAUAGUGUUCUUCAUGAUGGCUGUACUGACGGAUAUGAUUGCCCUUGUCUAAAUACUAAGAUCCAACUUUACAUGCAGUCGUACCCAUGCCAAUUUGUUGGAGCAGAGAUCAUCUGACUUAACUGAGUCUAAGUCAGAGGGAUGUCCAUCCAUGCCGCAUCGGACGACAAUGAAAUCUAGAGAGGCUCUAUGGCUCAGGUCGCCACGAAACCAGUGGCCCAUCCGGCUCCUUGUGACACAAGUGAAGGAAACAACAUGCAAGGUGUAAAGAAACAGCGUGGGAUCGACCAGAACGAUACCGCCUGGGCCGGAUGGUACGCGUUGCUCUGCUCAUGACCUCAUAAGAAGCAACUGAGAUGGAAUUAUGGAAGAAGAGGCUAACACCACACACAUCCAGAUUCCAGUAAGUACAUAUAUAUUAUUAUUCCAAGUACAUUCACUUUGGCACAAGUUCAAUAUUUUGUCAUCCAGAGCAACAAUUCAAGUUUUGUGCUAUUCAGUCGUGUUAAUUCUGGAUAUUUUUGGAUUUGGUUAUGUUCUGGGUUCCAUUAGUUCAAUUAUGGGCAAUAGUGGCCAUUUAGUUCCGUUCAAGUUCAGUUCUGGGUGCCAGCAAUAGUUGUCAUUUAAUUUAGUUCAAGUUUAGUUUUCGCUGCCAUUUAGUUCAAUUCAGUUAGGAGCAACAAUUGACAUUCAGUUCAUUUCAGAAUUCUGCAUAUGUACUUCUGUCCAAUUCUGCACUUACACAAAGCUUACUGGAACACUCAUUUACUCAUAACAUUCAAGCAAACACUGAAAAUUUUUACCAUUAAUUUUGUUUUUACAGAUGUACAAGUAGCAACUGCAAUUCCUAUUCAGUCGUAACAAUAAUAUUUAGUGAUCUCAAUUUUCAUGCCAUGCUGAAUUAAAUUCAGCUAACAUCAGCGAUUUAGUUGGACGCUUCCUGCACUUUCAACUUUAUAAAAUGAUUGUUUGCGAUCAGCAACUCAUUAGACGGCGGUGGCAGUGGCGUGAUUGGCCCACUUGAACACAAACCACAGGACGUCAACAACACAGGGCCUAUGGAACCUUGUCCUCUGGUCCAACCAUUGCUUCUCCUCGUGACACCUGUGGUCUACGGUGACAGGGCCUUGGCUGGCGGCUAAUGCCACGAGGCCUCGGAGCCGGACUUGUGCUCCUCCUCUUGGGAAGUCGUCGCCAGUGCGGUGGCCCUGAAGCCGGUUGGACGCGUCUUGUGUGCGCUAGGGCAGUGGCAUCGCAGAGGAUGAAACCAACACUGGUUGAGAGCGGCCUCGAUGGUGUGGUGUAGCUGACCACGACCGUGGGGAUGGGCGUGCCGGACGCGUGAAUGGAAACGGUGAGUCCAUGCCGGACCCUCCUUUGGUGAGCGAACAACGACGACAAGUGUAGGGGAACUCAAGAAAGGAGGGUUUUUUCAGAGCUGGAGCGCCACUUUCCCUCUCCCUUCCAUUGGACUGGGUUGCAUCAUGCUUUUGGGCCGAUCCUGCUCUGUGUUUCCACGGGCUCCACCUGCUGUCGUGGAUGCGCAAAGAAUGGGAUACACACAUCCAACAAAUUUCGCUAGGCGCUUGGUACUACAACUUCUACAUCUCGACGACUUUGGACAAUAAAGCGAUGAUGCUCUACCUGGGCGUGGUCUAACUCUACCUCGGCCAGGUGUGGUGCCACGAGGAAGCACCCAAGGUACAUGUGUGUGUGUGUGCGCGCGCAAAUAUAGAUUAACUACAGAUAAGUACUUCGGUCCCAUCAGUCGCCACCAAGUAAAUCAGCAGCAGCCAGUAGUAGAAGAAUUCGGUUUGACAUUUGAUUUAUGCUGGGUAAUUUGAGGUGUGCCUGUUGGUUAUGCCAUUUAUCUUUUUUCUGUCAAGCAAUUGUUUUCUAUUGCUGUGAUAGGCCUGAAUCAGUUUUUGUUUUUUGUAUACACCGAGAUGAAGCUGAAAGUUAUGACGAUCAGAUCAAAUACCAAAAGUUGUAACUCGGAUAUACCAUGAUAUUUUGAAUGGUGUGCUACCUUAAUAGCUUUCAGUGGUAUGUUGUCUGUUCAAUUCCGAAAAUAAGAUUUGUGGUAGGUUGACCUGUUGACAGCUUUCAAUGCUACUGUAUGUUGUUUGUUCAACUCCGGUCACCGAAGCUGAAUUUCCAUACAAAACCAAGAUUUGUUCUAGGUAAUUAUUUAGGCACCAAGCAACAAGUCCAUGGAUUUAAAAUAUGCACACAACGACAAACAUUUGUGUGGAUUUUCUGUAGGUGUCUCUGUUGACCUGCAUGUUUGCCUGAUGAGUGAAACAUAAGUGAUUCCAGUUCUACAUAUAUGUAACAUGCUAUUUUUGUUGGCUUAUAUUAACAUGGGAACCGGGUAAGUUUCUGCAAAUGUAUUCUUUUGGUUGUUUUGUGUCAUUUGUAUCCCGGUCAACAAUUUGAGAGAUUUACUUUGAGUAAAUUCAUGGUCUGAACUGGCUGUAGUAUUCAUUGAUCAAAUAAUUGUCGUCUAACGAGUGUUAUUGAUAAAGGAGGAGCUUGAGAAAAUGAAGGUAACUAUGAAGCUUCCUCUAUACAUGAUGAAGUGGGCGAAUGCGAAAUACAACAGGAGUUAGAGAAAGGCACACCUUGCACUUAUCGUUUCCUGAGUGCCAAAGAAAGGCUCACUGAAAGUAUCAAAUUUAUUUAAUGUGAGGUAGUGACAAGCUUUAGAGUUCAACCUUUUAGUGGAGUGCUUUUAUGCAUAUAAUCUUAAUAUAAUUCAUAAUUGUAAAUAAUGGGAAGCAAACAGUGGUACAUACAUUGUAUGCAUUGUGAAAGAAAAUAUUUUUAUAAU